rnacentral:rRNA from 1 species
AUUGAACGCUGGCGGCAUGCCUAACACAUGCAAGUCGAACGCGAAAGUUCCUUCGGGAAUGAGUAAAGUGGCGGACGGGUGAGUAACGCGUAGGAAUCUACCUUACAGUGGGGGAUAACCCGGGGAAACUCGGGCUAAUACCGCAUACUAUCUAAGGAGCAAAGCGGGGGAUCUUCGGACCUCGUACUGAAAGAUGAGCCAGCGUUGGAUUAGCUAGUUGGUAGGGUAAAGGCCUACCAAGGCGAUGAUUCGUAGCUGGCCUGAGAGGAUGAUCAGCCACACUGGGACUGAGACACGGCCCAGACUCCUACGGGAGGCAGCAGUGGGGAAUAUUGGACAAUUGGCGAAAGCCUGAUCCAGCAAUGCCGCGUGUGUGAAGAAGGCCUUCGGGUUGUAAAGCACUUUCAGCGGGGAGGAAUGGCUCAAGGUUAAUAUCCUUGGGAAGUGACGUUACCCGCAGAAGAAGCACUGGCUAACUCUGUGCCAGCCGCCGCGGUAA